rnacentral:tRNA from 1 species
AUUUAUAUAGUUUAAAUAAAACAUUACAUUUUCAUUGUAAAAUUAAAACUCAAUUUUAUAAAUA